rnacentral:rRNA from 1 species
CGCAAUGGGCGAAAGCCUGACGGAGCAAUACCGCGUGAGGGAGGAAGGCUCUUGGGUUGUAAACCUCUUUUCUCAGGGAAGAAAAAAAUGACGGUACCUGAGGAAUAAGCAUCGGCUAACUCCGUGCCAGCAGCCGCGGUAAUACGGAGGAUGCAAGCGUUAUCCGGAAUGAUUGGGCGUAAAGCGUCCGCAGGUGGCGAUGAAAGUCUGCUGUUAAAGAGUGAGGCUCAACCUCAUAAAAGCAGUGGAAACUACAUAGCUAGAGUACGUUCGGGGCAGAGGGAAUUCCUGGUGUAGCGGUGAAAUGCGUAGAGAUCAGGAAGAACACCGGUGGCGAAAGCGCUCUGCUAGGCCUGUAC